UAGGAAUGCGAAAGGUAACGGUGGAAUGUGGUAGAACCUUCGUGGACUUCCUUCUCGGGGCGUCUCAGGCCCACGUCUGAACCCUGUGGUAGCAAGCUGGAUUAGAUACCCAAGUAGUCACAGAGGUUAACCCUGGCUAAUCGUAGACUGGAUAACAAACGUUAAGAUUAAUUAGGCUCAUCUUACGAGUACGCCCGUCGGGGUGAAACUUAAAGGUGCUGGUGGUAAUUUAGAACAACGGUGGAACUGAUGAUUUAAUUCGAUAUUACGCGAUACAGCUCAUCCACGAUCCCCUCUACAGCCUCGUAAGAGGUUCUUCCUGCCUAUACGGUAAGGUGUUGCAUGGCUGUCUUAAGGUGAUGUCUCACGACAUAAUCACCACAACCCCUAUUCCUCUUUCCUUUAUUGGGGGAGGUUUGAUCAAGGUCGAGUCAUUAUGGCCCAUGCGUGGAGCGAUCCAUCAGUUACAAUACCUGGUUCAUUCUCCGUCGUACAGGCGGUCUUCUGAACACUAGGUCUACGAAUGAGCGGUUGAAAUGCCCCUCUGAAGCUGGAAUCGUUAGUAACCCUACGGUUAGUUAUACUAGGGUGAAUAAGAGAUAAGUUGCGUUCAUACUGCCCGUCAAGCAAGUAAAGGACCCUGGGAAUAUAGGCCUUCGAUGGUCUCCCGUAAGGUCCGAUAAGUGUUAAGUCGAAACAUGGUAGGUUAAACGGAAGUUG
rnacentral:rRNA from 1 species